rnacentral:rRNA from 1 species
GACGAACGCUGGCGGCGUGCUUAACACAUGCAAGUCGAACGGAAAGGCCCUGCUCUUGUGGGUUGCUCGAGUGUCGAACAGGUGAGUAACACGUGAGUAACAUGCCCUUUACUUUGGGAUAACUUCAGGAAAAUGGGUCUAAUACCGGAUAGGAGCUCCUGCUGCAUGGUGGGGGUUGGAAAGUUUCGGAGGUUUGGGAUGGACGCGCGGCUUAUCAGCUUGUUGGUGGGGUAGUGGCUUACCAAGGCAUUGACGGGUAGCCGGACUGAGAGGGUGACCGGGCACAUACGGACAGAGGAGCGAGCAAUACGGAUACGUGAGGAAGCGGUGGAGAAUAGUGCAAGAAGGGCGGAGGGCGUAAGGAGGGUCGCCGGGUGGUAGAGGACUGUCGUAAGUUUAGAAACCGUUUGCGCGUGGGACGAAGAGUGAGUGACGGUAAUGUGUAAGAAAGCACCGGCUAACUACGUG